AUGUCAGAGUUUGAAAUGAUCAAACACCUGCAGAAGUGGGGUUUUACGCCCGGUUAUACGAUGUGGACAUUUCAUGGUGAGUCUGCCCAAUGUUCCAGAGCUGAGGAGGGCCGUCGUCGCACCGACGAGCAUGGUACCGGGAUGGAAGACAUGGUGCAAGACUUUGAUGAUGCUCGGGAUUUGGAUGAUGAGAUGGAGGAAUCUGCAAAGGCCUUCAAUGAUAUGUUGGAGUCUUCGAAGCGUCCUCUCCAUGAGCACACCAAGCUUUGUCAGCUGGAUGCCAUCGCACAAGUAAUGGCUCUGAAGGCUCAAUUCAACUUGGGCAGAGAAUGCUAUGACGCGAUAGUGACACUAUUUGGAUGCUUUCUACCCAAAGGCCAUAUAAUGCCUGCAAACCUGUACUAG
rnacentral:rRNA from 1 species